rnacentral:rRNA from 1 species
GAUGAACGCUGGCGGCGUGCCUAAUACAUGCAAGUCGAGCGAACAGAUGAGGAGCUUGCUCCUCUGACGUUAGCGGCGGACGGGUGAGUAACACGUGGAUAACCUACCUAUAAGACUGGGAUAACUUCGGGAAACCGGAGCUAAUACCGGAUAAUAUAUUGAACCGCAUGGUUCAAUAGUGAAAGACGGUUUUGUUGUCACUUAUAGAUGGAUCCGCGCCGCAUUAGCUAGUUGGUAAGGUAACGGCUUACCAAGGCGACGAUGCGUAGCCGACCUGAGAGGGUGAGCGGCCACACUGGAACUGAGACACGGUCCAGGCUCCUACGGGAGGGAGCAGUAGGGAAUCUUCCGCAAUGGGCGAAAGCCUGACGGAGCAACGCCGCGUGAGUGAUGAAGGUCUUCGGAUCGUAAAACUCUGUUAUUAGGGAAGAACAAAUGUGUAAGUAACUAUGCACGUCUUGACGGUACCUAAUCAGAAAGCCACGGCUAACUACGUG